rnacentral:lncRNA from 1 species
ACGCCACAGUAAUGAUAUUGCUGACUUCAAUUGAAGCAAAUGCUUGUCACUUGCAAAAUGAUUUGUGACAGUGGACAGACUUGGUGCAGGGGUACUUCAGGUCUGGCCGACAAGGACAUCAGGUUCUUCUCGUGGGGAAGGUUUGUAACGGGGCAAAAUUCAUCAGGGGUACACUGAGGAAAACCACGCUGGAACGACACAGUGGGCAGUGACAACCCAUGGGACAAUGUUGAAAUCAGCAGCGUCGACAAAAUUAGCAGCAGGGGCUGAGUCUAGACAAUGGAUGGUUCAAGGCUUGACAAAAACACUAUUGACAUGAAUGGCAACGUGCAUGGGCAGUGACAGAUUCGGUAGCAGUGUAAGUCUAGCGAUUCAGCAGGACAUGGGUUGAUGUUCAGCAUGAAUUCUGACUUGGACAGCGGACAGUCCAAGGCAUGCUGAGACACAGUAGACUGACAGCAUGGGUGUUGACAGUUGGGCAGUUGGUUUGUGGGAGGCAAGCCGAGUUACAGCAGUUUGGGACAGUUUAUGGCAGUUUUCAGCAGUUUCUUGUAUGGGGAGAAAUGGCCAGGACAUGUGGAAAAGUGUCUUAAUCUGUGUAGGAGCUUAGGGACUGUUUUCUUUGUAACUUCCACUAUGUUCUAAUAUAUGUAGGCUGUAAAUAUUUACAGUGUAGCAUGCAAGGCAGUGACUGUGCAUGAGUUCCAUGUAAUAGUUUAGUUGACAUCACUUGUAUACUUCAAACAAAUAUAGACAGCACAAAAACAUUUUAAUUUGAUCUCUGGCUCUGCAGCUUGACCAUGUAACAACCAGUUAGGAUUUAGCCUUGAAUUCGAAAUUUCAGUAACCAGAAUCAUUCCUGUCACAUUGUGGAUAGUUUUGAAAGCAGCCAUAUUUUUGGCUAGGAUCUAAAAAAAAAAAAAAACAUGGGCAUCCAUUACAAUCCAACCAAAGUAACAUCCUGAAAGAGGAGGCCUUAAAACAGCCCAACAGUAACAUUUUCACAGUGAAUUCCAAAGGCUAGUUGCACAAAGAUACUAUUAAACCAGUGCAAACACACCCAAAGAUUAUAACAGCAAAAGUUUCUUUACAGCAUGAAAAGCUCCUAGGAAGGUAUGUUUAUUGUUCAGUGGCCCAAGAAGCCAGUAAGCUUAUCGGUAAGAAUUUUACCCGUUUUAAGGAGCAAAUCAAAUAUGUUUUGAGUUUCACCAUCAUUUACAAAUAAUAUAGGAUCCUCUGUCAUGUAACCUAAUGAACCCAUUGUAGUUUUUUGGGACACAGUUUAUAAUCAAGGUAACAUGAAGAGUUUCGAGACAGCAUAGUUUAUAAUCUUGAAGAGAACUAUCAUGAGAUUGGUGAUAAGAGAUUUAACUGCAUAAAAAUCAUGCCCAAAACAAAUCCAGACAAGUCAAAGAAUGACCCAUCCAAAUAAACUAAAAUCAGGCAUUAAAAAAAUUAAAUCUUUAAAGAAAAUCAUAAUGAUAAUAAUAAAAGGAAAAAAAGUUAAAUUCACUUACAUAUUGGUAGAGCAUAGAGUGAAAAUCAAGCAUUAAAAAAAUUAAAUCUUUAAGGAAAUAAUAAUAAUAGUAGUAGUAGUAGAAGAAGAAGAAGAAAAAAAGAGUGAAAUUCACUUAC